UACGAAGGGGGCUAGCGUUGCUCGGAAUUACUGGGCGUAAAGCGCACGUAGGCGGCUUUCUAAGUCGGGGGUGAAAUCCUGGAGCUCAACUCCAGAACUGCCUUCGAUACUGGAGAGCUCGAGUCCGGGAGAGGUGAGUGGAACUGCGAGUGUAGAGGUGAAAUUCGUAGAUAUUGGGAAGAACACCAGUGGCGAAGGCGGCUAACUGGUCCGGUACUGACGCUGAGGUGCGAAAGCGUGGGGAGCAAACGGG
rnacentral:rRNA from 1 species